CACAGUGGUCCCUAGCUCAUGUGUGGGGGUUAUCGUGGCUAACUGGGGCACCCUGACACCAGCUGCCAUCACUGCCACCACUCAGGUUGGAGCUCAUUUGUGCCUGGCUGGUCCCCAAGCUGCUAGGUGCUGAGCCAGUGCCAUUGGCUGCUCUUGUAUUUGGCUCUCUCCCUUCAUAACAGCUCCCCUCCUGCCUCAGUGCUAUGCCUGCCCUCUCCACUGGCACAGUCGGACAUCACAUGGUCACUGCAGCUGAUUACCCUCAUACAGCUCCACCUACACUAUCAGCAGCAUCAGAGCUGGAGAAUAAAAGCAUCCAACUAAGGAAUCUGAAGACCCUGGACAAAUGAAAUCUCUAAAGAAAAGUGAGAACUGUCCAGAGAAAAUGUCUCAAGAAAAGGAGUAAAUUGGCCUGAUGAAACUCGGGUCCCACUGCCAAAAAGCAACUACUGGACACGGAUGCCACCAGAGCAAGCGUAGGGACAGCUCUUCUUAGAGCAGUCCCAAUUUUUAAAGAUAACACCCAAUCCCAAAGUCUGCAUUUCUUGCAGAGGAAGGAAAUUGUCACGUAGCCACAUGAUUCCAGAUGACAGCAGGGAUCAGCGGUCUCACAAACACUCCCCUUUUUCAGGAAUCACAUGAAUUUACCUUCCAGGGGCUGGAGAGAUGGCUCAGCGAUUAAGAACACUGGCUGCUCUUCCAGAGGACCCGGGUCAAAUUCAUCUGUAACUCCAGUUCUGGGAGAUCAGACACCCUCCAUGGCACUACAUGCACCUACUGCGCAGACAUAUGUGCGGGCAAAACACCCAUAUACAUAACAUAAAAAUAAAUAAUUCUCAAAAAAAAUUU